rnacentral:rRNA from 1 species
AUCUGUUCAGAUUGAACGCUGGCGGGAGGCCUAACACAUGCAAGCCGAGCGGUAGAGUUUCUUCGGAGACUUGAGAGCGGCGCACGGGUGCGGAACACGUGUGCAACCUGCCUUUAUCUGGGGGAUAGCCUUUCGAAAGGAAGAUUAAUACCCCAUAAUAUACUGGAUGGCAUCAUCUGGUAUUGAAAACUCCGGUGGAUAGAGAUGGGCACGCGCAAGAUUAGAUAGUUGGUGAGGUAACGGCUCACCAAGUCAGCGAUCUUUAGGGGGCCUGAGAGGGUGAUCCCCCACACUGGUACUGAGACACGGACCAGACUCCUACGGGAGGCAGCAGUGAGGAAUAUUGGACAAUGGGUGAGAGCCUGAUCCAGCCAUCCCGCGUGAAGGACGACGGCCCUAUGGGUUGUAAACUUCUUUUGUAUAGGGAUAAACCUAGAUACGUGUAUCUAGCUGAAGGUACUAUACGAAUAAGCACCGGCUAACUCCGUGCCAGCAGCCGCGGUAAUACGGAGGGUGCAAGCGUUAUCCGGAUUUAUUGGGUUUAAAGGGUCCGUAGGCUGAUUUGUAAGUCAGUGGUGAAAUCUCACAGCUUAACUGUGAAACUGCCAUUGAUACUGCAAGUCUUGAGUGUUGUUGAAGUAGCUGGAAUAAGUAGUGUAGCGGUGAAAUGCAUAGAUAUGACUUAGAACACCAAUUGCGAAGGCAGGUUACUAAGCAACAACUGACGCUGAUGGACGAAAGCGUGGGGAGCGAACAGGAUUAGAUACCCUGGUAGUCCACGCCGUAAACGAUGCUAACUCGUUUUUGGGUUUUCGGAUUCAGAGACUAAGCGAAAGUGAUAAGUUAGCCACCUGGGGAGUACGAACGCAAGUUUGAAACUCAAAGGAAUUGACGGGGGCCCGCACAAGCGGUGGAUUAUGUGGUUUAAUUCGAUGAUACGCGAGGAACCUUACCAAGGCUUAAAUGGGAAAUGACAGGUUUAGAAAUAGACUUUUCUUCGGACAUUUUUCAAGGUGCUGCAUGGUUGUCGUCAGCUCGUGUUGUGA